GUCGGGUUAAAUCCCCACGACGCCGUUUUAGGAGCCACAACAACAGGCUCAAACGACGCCGUAUUAGGCCCUUUAUAAGGGUUGAAACUUGGCUAUUCAGCCAUUCUAACCCUAGUUUCGUUUUCCUUUAGCCACCUUCAACCAAAUUCCUUGGCCCUUGCCUCCAUCAUCCCCAACCGCAGGUACACUUGUCUUUUGAAGGCAGUUUUCGGCCUUGAGACCCCUCCUUCACCUUCGAUUUCGACGAAGUCAGGAGGAGCCGACGGCAGACUCACGAGGUAAGCCUCUUGUUCCCUUCUUUUUCGAAUACGGGAGUCACGAAUCAAAAAGAAACUAAAGAAAAUGAAACAUUCUGGGAAUUUUUGGAAUCGAAAAAUCACCUUGCUUUCCUUUCUAUUGCUUUUUUUUGUUUUUCCGUGCGUAACCCGUUACAAGCGAUUCUCUUCAAGCUUUAUAGCCGAGAGACCAAAAGGAAAAAGAAAAGAAAAAAAACAAAAAAUGAAAAAUAUACAAUUUCUUUGUUUUCUUGCCCGUAUUGGCUGUUGUGGUUUGUCCUUUCUUCGCAGGUACAGGUGUGCGCUGGUGUACGGGGCGCGGGCGUGGCGCCAGGAGGCUGGGGCAUACAGAGGCCUGGAGCUGCUGGGGUUGCUAGUUACGGGGCAUGGGACAAGGGAUGACCUAGGGUUCUGCCCUAGCUUGUGUUCUUGGGCUAGGAUAGUUAGGCUUAGGAUCGGGCUAUUGUAAAUGGGUUGGGAUUUUGGGUCAUGUAAUUGGACUUUAAACAUUUAAUGGACUGUGAUGGUUUUAUUUAUUUUAUGUUGUUUUUUUUGUUUGUAACGGGCCCGGGCAUAUUUGGCCCACUACAAUAGUAUCAAGUAAAAAAGGGUUCGUUGAUUCAGUGUUAUGUGACAUUCAGUUGGAAGGAUCAAUACGAUUCGUAAUUAUCGUAAUCGAUCUAUCAAAGAACAAAUUGGCGUGACAAAUUGAAGUCGUUGAUUCGAGUCAGAUCCUUCUAGUUUGCAAAGCUACAAAGGAGUUAAAUCAUAGGUUAGCUAUUGUCCCGCAACUAAUUUACAGAAGGAAGGGCUGGUGCCCUAUGGUCUAAGGCGUCCUCAAUCAUUAUAAUCGACUUAUCAGUUGUAUAGAAAACUCAUUAUCCAAGAUUAGUUCAAAACCAGAACCAAAAUCAAGCCUAAAACUAGAGCAUUGUUACAUCAGUUUACUCAAUCUUUUUUGUUUCUGUUUAUUUUAUUGCUAUUUUUGUUUUAUUUAUUUCUGUUACUUUUAUUUGACUUAUAUGUCAAAAAAACCCUUAGUAAAUGGAAAAAAAAUACAAUUAAGCCCCUUUAUUAAAUUCGCACCCAAUGAGGCCCCUGUUAUUAACUAAAAUAAUCAAUUAAGCCACUCUGUUAACAAUUUUCGUCAUUAACAGGCCAAUCAGAUAGUGA
rnacentral:lncRNA from 1 species